AUGAACGCUAGCUACAGGCUUAACACAUGCAAGUCGAGGGGCAGCAUUUUAGUUUGCUUGCAAACUAAAGAUGGCGACCGGCGCACGGGUGAGUAACACGUAUCCAACCUGCCGAUAACUCGGGGAUAGCCUUUCGAAAGAAAGAUUAAUAUCCGAUAGUAUAUUAAAACCGCAUGGUUUUACUAUUAAAGAAUUUCGGUUAUCGAUGGGGAUGCGUUCCAUUAGUUUGUUGGCGGGGUAACGGCCCACCAAGACUACGAUGGAUAGGGGUUCUGAGAGGAAGGUCCCCCACAUUGGAACUGAGACACGGUCCAAACUCCUACGGGAGGCAGCAGUGAGGAAUAUUGGUCAAUGGACGAGAGUCUGAACCAGCCAAGUAGCGUGAAGGAUGACUGCCCUAUGGGUUGUAAACUUCUUUUAUAUGGGAAUAAAGUAUUCCACGUGUGGGAUUUUGUAUGUACCAUAUGAAUAAGGAUCGGCUAACUCCGUGCCAGCAGCCGCGGUAAUACGGAGGAUCCGAGCGUUAUCCGGAUUUAUUGGGUUUAAAGGGAGCGUAGGUGGAUUGUUAAGUCAGUUGUGAAAGUUUGCGGCUCAACCGUAAAAUUGCAGUUGAAACUGGCAGUCUUGAGUACAGUAGAGGUGGGCGGAAUUCGUGGUGUAGCGGUGAAAUGCUUAGAUAUCACGAAGAACUCCGAUUGCGAAGGCAGCUCACUAGACUGCAACUGACACUGAUGCUCGAAAGUGUGGGUAUCAAACAGGAUUAGAUACCCUGGUAGUCCACACAGUAAACGAUGAAUACUCGCUGUUUGCGAUAUACAGUAAGCGGCCAAGCGAAAGCAUUAAGUAUUCCACCUGGGGAGUACGCCGGCAACGGUGAAACUCAAAGGAAUUGACGGGGGCCCGCACAAGCGGAGGAACAUGUGGUUUAAUUCGAUGAUACGCGAGGAACCUUACCCGGGCUUAAAUUGCAUUUGAAUAAUCUGGAAACAGGUUAGCCGCAAGGCAAAUGUGAAGGUGCUGCAUGGUUGUCGUCAGCUCGUGCCGUGAGGUGUCGGCUUAAGUGCCAUAACGAGCGCAACCCUUAUCUUUAGUUACUAACAGGUCAUGCUGAGGACUCUAGAGAGACUGCCGUCGUAAGAUGUGAGGAAGGUGGGGAUGACGUCAAAUCAGCACGGCCCUUACGUCCGGGGCUACACACGUGUUACAAUGGGGGGUACAGAAGGCAGCUACCUGGCGACAGGAUGCUAAUCCCAAAAACCUCUCUCAGUUCGGAUCGAAGUCUGCAACCCGACUUCGUGAAGCUGGAUUCGCUAGUAAUCGCGCAUCAGCCAUGGCGCGGUGAAUACGUUCCCGGGCCUUGUACACACCGCCCGUCAAGCCAUGAAAGCCGGGGGUACCUGAAGUACGUAACCGCAAGGGGCGUCCUAGGGUAAAACUGGUAAUUGGGGCU
rnacentral:rRNA from 1 species